CCUACGGGUGGCUGCAGUGAGGAAUAUUGGUCAAUGGGCGGAAGCCUGAACCAGCCAAGUAGCGUGCAGGAUGACGGCCCUACGGGUUGUAAACUGCUUUUAUACGGGAAUAACGCGCCUUACGUGUAGGGCUUUGCAUGUACCGUAUGAAUAAGGAUCGGCUAAUUCCGUGCCAGCAGCCGCGGUAAUACGGAAGGUCCGGGCGUUAUCCGGAAUGACUGGGCGUAAAGGGUGCGUAGGUGGUUUGACAAGUUAGUAGCGUAACUCCAAGGCUCAACCUUGGAACUACUACUAAAACUGUUGGACUUGAGUGCAGGAGAGGCAACCGGAAUUCCUGGUGUAGCGGUGGAAUGCGUAGAUAUUAGGAAGAACACCAGUGGCGAAGGCAGGUUGCUGGACUGUAACUGACACUGAGGCACGAAAGCGUGGGGAGCGAACAGGAUUAGAUACCCUUGUAGUC
rnacentral:rRNA from 1 species